rnacentral:rRNA from 1 species
ACUCAAAGGAAUUGACGGGGACCCGCACAAGUAGCGGAGCAUGUGGUUUAAUUCGAAGCAACGCGAAGAACCUUACCUAAGCUUGACAUCCCACUGACCUCUCCCUAAUCGGAGAUUUCCCUUCGGGGACAGUGGUGACAGGUGGUGCAUGGUUGUCGUCAGCUCGUGUCGUGAGAUGUUGGGUUAAGUCCCGCAACGAGCGCAACCCUUGCCUUUAGUUGCCAGCAUUAAGUUGGGCACUCUAGAGGGACUGCCGAGGAUAACUCGGAGGAAGGUGGGGAUGACGUCAAAUCAUCAUGCCCCUUAUGCUUAGGGCUACACACGUGCUACAAUGGGUGGUACAGAGGGUUGCCAAGCCGCGAGGUGGAGCUAAUCCCUUAAAGCCAUUCUCAGUUCGGAUUGUAGGCUGAAACUCGCCUACAUGAAGCUGGAGUUACUAGUAAUCGCAGAUCAGAAUGCUGCGGUGAAUGCGUUCCCGGGUCUUGUACACACCGCCCGU